rfam:Glycine soja cultivar W05 scaffold608_14, whole genome shotgun sequence.
UUAAUUAUUUAUGUUGACCGUCACGUGUCGUGCUUUAUUGAACGUUAAUAAGAUAUAAAAAAUCAAAACACAUGUGAAGAUUAAUAUCCAAUCAAAACACAAUACGUGAUAAUCAACGUAA